rnacentral:rRNA from 1 species
GAUGAACGCUGGCGGCGUGCCUAAUACAUGCAAGUCGAGCGAACGGACGAGAAGCUUGCUUCUCUGAUGUUAGCGGCGGACGGGUGAGUAACACGUGGAUAACCUACCUAUAAGACUGGGAUAACUUCGGGAAACCGGAGCUAAUACCGGAUAAUAUUUUGAACCGCAUGGUUCAAAAGUGAAGACGGUCUUGCUGUCACUUAUAGAUGGAUCCGCGCUGCAUUAGCUAGUUGGUAAGGUAACGGCUUACCAAGGCAACGAUGCAUAGCCGACCUGAGAGGGUGAUCGGCCACACUGGAACUGAGACACGGUCCAGACUCCUACGGGAGGCAGCAGUAGGGAAUCUUCCGCAAAGGGCGAAAGCCUGACGGAGCAACGCCGCGUGAGUGAUGAAGGUCUUCGGAUCGUAAAACUCUGUUAUUAGGGAAGAACAUAUGUGUAAGUAACUGUGCACAUCUUGACGGUACCUAAUCAGAAAGCCACGGCUAACUACGUG